ensembl:lncRNA
AGCACAACCAGCAGGGCAUUUCCCUCCAUGCUGCAGAAGGGAGCAGGAUGUGUGCUUGUACCUCUGCAGGAUGCCUUUGCCUUUUCAGGAUGACAAGAUGCCUUGCUCUGGUUUUCUACAGGAAUUCUUUUCCAGUGUGGAUCCUAGCCCUUGCUGUUCAUCCUCUAAAUGAGAUUAUUAUAAUGCCUCUGUGAAGUGGCAGUGUCUCAGUUCCUGGGAGGGUCCUCCCUGAGCAGCAGGUCCAUGUUUGAUGUCUCCAGUCAUUGCGAACAUUCAGGAACAGGAGGAAAUUUUCUCCCUUGUGGUGCUUCUUCAGUAUAGAAGCUGGGAAGUAAAUUUGAGAUUUGGAAGAAGCAAAGGUUUUAGGUGAGAUGGGGGUGAGAUGCAACCAAAGGCUACACUGGCUGAUAUAGGAACAGCUCUCUGAGGUGUGAAAAUUGAGUGCCCUGUGACAGGACAAGAGGCAAUGAGCACCAGAUGGAAACCAGAAAAUUCCAUUUCAACAUCUGAAGGAGCUUCCCUGUGAGGCAGGUCAAGCCUGUGGAAUCUUUAUCCUUGGAGAAAUCAAAAAUCCGGCUAAAUGCCAUCCUGUGCAACCUGCUGUGGCUGAGCCUGCUUGAGCAGGGAGUUGGACUAGGUGGUCUCCAGAGAUGCAUUCCAUCUUCAGCCAUUCUGCAAUUGCAGCACCAUGCUCAAAUCCGACCGAGUUAAUAUUUCAGCAUCAGCUUCAGGACUGAAAUAAUCUGUACUGAGAGCACCAACUCGAGUGAGCUCAUGUAAUUUGUGGUUUAACAAAGCAAAUCUGUUUGCAGAUUGCUUAGCAGUUGCUAUUGCUCUCUACCAAGUCAUAGCACAGACUAUGAGAACAGUAAUGUCCUUGCAUUGUGGCGUGACCAUGUGUGCCACUGUUUGUUUCACAGUUUUAAGUACGAAUAGACAGCUUCCUUAAGAGCUUCCGUCAGGAGGCUUUUGCCAAAACUUUCUGGAAGCUUAGGAACUGUGAUAGAAGCCAAAUCACCUUUAUCAACUUGGUCGUCUACAAAGAACUCUUAUAGGUAUUUGAAGUUUAAUUUCUUCCUGGAAAGAUAAAACCCCAUUGAAUCGUUUCCAGUUUAUUAUAAAAGUCAUACUCAUCUUUUGUGUUUUGGUGGGUUUUUUCUUAAUUAUCAUUUUUAAUGGUAGAUUUGUCCAGUUUUGAGGUCAGGUACCUCAGCCUCAAAUUCUCAUAUCCCCAUGGGAGCCCCUUCACAAAAAUUGUUGUAUUUUUUGCCACCUUCAUCUCCAGUUGUAUUCAUAUGACUUCUGUUUAUGUAGCGUCCUACGCACCUGACUUCAUAUUUACAGUGUCAUGUUUGACUUCUGCUAGGACUCUAGAGACCGUGCUGUCUGGUCCAUGAUGCCCUAAUGUGUUUCUUUUUGUUUGUAUAUUGAGUACUACCGCAAAAAAAAAAGACCAAAUUGCGGGACCCCUCUGAGAAACAUCUGUUGAAGGAAGGUCAUCGUCUCUAAGGGCAGACAUAGUUCUACUGGAUGGAGACAGGAACAUCUUCACAUUCUCGCUUUGGGAUUGUGGUGUGAAGUCAGUGUGCUUUGCUGCUGUUAGGUAUGGUGAAGGCCAUAGGAAAGGUACUGUCUGGGCUCCUCUAUGGUCAGAAAUAAAGAGGAAUUUUAUUG